rnacentral:rRNA from 1 species
CCGCCCGUCACACCAUGGGAGCUGAUUGCUCCAGAAGUCGCGAUCCUGACCCGCAAGGGAAGGUAGCGCCCAAGGAGUGGUCGGUGACUGGGGUG